rfam:Salmo salar isolate Sally breed double haploid chromosome ssa04, whole genome shotgun sequence.
AUCUGUCUAAUUUGUAAGUCGUUCUGGAUAAGAGCGUCUGCUAAAUGACUUAAA